rnacentral:misc_RNA from 1 species
GAUGAAGAACGCAGCGAAAUGCGAUAAGUAAUGUGAAUUGCAGAAUUCCGUGAAUCAUCGAAUCUUUGAACGCAUAUUGCGCCCUCUGGCAUUCCGGGGGGCAUGCCUGUCCGAGCGUCAUUUCAACCCUCAAGCUCAGCUUGGUAUUGAGUCCAUGUCAGUAAUGGCAGGCUCUAAAAUCAGUGGCGGCGCCGCUGGGUCCUGAACGUAGUAAUAUCUCUCGUUACAGGUUCUCGGUGUGCUUCUGCCAAAACCCAAAUUUUCUAUGGUUGACCUCGGAUCAGGUAGGGAUACCCGCUGAACUUAAGCAUAUCAAUAAGCGGAGGA